UCGCUGCUACCGAUUGAAUGGUUUAAUGAGCCUCUCGGACUUUGCCGUAAGGCGGAGGAAGUUAUGCAAAUUUGAUCAUUUAGAGGAAGCAAAAGUCGUAACAAGGUUUCCGUAG
rnacentral:rRNA from 1 species